rnacentral:lncRNA from 1 species
AAGAAAGUGCGAAAUCGCGAACUCGAAAAAUGGUAAAAAUCACCAAAAAACGAGUUCAGUUAAGCGAACUCUCAAAAGUGUGAUUUUGGACUUAGCGAUUUUUUUAAAUUCGCUUGAAACAUUUCGUCCUAAAUAAAUGUUAGUUGUUUUUUGCGCUCCGGAGUUUCGGGUUGGAUUUCUGAACCAAGUGGCCAGUGUGGAAGCGGAAUGAAAGGGAUCCGGAAAUAUGGGCCAGCGGUUGCAAGACUUUAUCGGGAACCUAAUGUGGCGGUCCGUUUCGAGGACUAUCGGAUGCUGCGGGAAAUGAUCUGGUUGAGAAAGCGAUGUUCUCCAAGACAACCGGUUGACUCAUCACAAUACUACCAGCAGGGACCAGCGUACCAAAAUUCACCAGAGCUUUUGAACGAACCCGUUCAUGUCCCAACAGCAAGUCAUGGUUGUCAAGAAAAGAACACCAACAAUGACCAACAAGGGCCGGAAUGCUGCCGACGAGUUUUAAGUACCUUCGGCGUGUGGUGAAUCAGUCCGACUCGACGUUGUCCAUCAGGUGACGAAGGUGUGUACCAUCAGUGUUGCACAACAACUAAAUCUGUUCUACCUCAACCUUUUUCAGACAACCAACUUAUGCGAAACGACGAAAUCCAGCAAGAACCGAGCUGCAGGCAAAUGUGGCACGAACGGCCAUCCUACUCGUUAGAAACGGGCUCUAUCAUUGUCACCGAUUUCGGCCGGCGGCAACGAUCAACUCCUCCACGGGCUUCCCGGCGGCCGGCGACCAACGACACGCUUAUGAGCAAGUUGCAGCUCUACGACGACGAGGAGGCAGCACGUAGUCGCUGCACAAGUUUUCCGAGACGCCUGCCUGACCGGAUCGAUGAAAACACGAAGCUGGAGAAAAGUGAACAACGUCAUGGCCGCAGGAGCCCUGUGUAACUUUUGGUCCUGGAACGAAAUCCUUGACCUCGAUAUCGCUGCACCACCCAACGCGAAGCAGCCUGCCGGAACCAGGAGAGAUCGUGACCAUUUUCCCCAAGGAACCAACAUUGAAUACCAUGACAAACUUUCUUGCACGAAGCUUUAUUUUAUAAAAUAUGAUCCUGUCAUUAUAUUUUGUAAUUAUUAUCAAAUAAUUCAAUAAAAAUGCCGUUUAGUUGUUUAUCAAUUA